rnacentral:rRNA from 1 species
UCCGUUGGUGAACCAGCGGAGGGAUCAUUACCGAGUUUUCAACUCCCUACCCUUCUGUGAACCUACCUAUCGUUGCUUCGGCGGACUCGCCCCAGCCCGGACGCGGACUGGACCAGCGGCCCGCCGGGGACCUCAAACUCUUGUAUUCCAGCAUCUUCUGAAUACGCCGCAAGGCAAAACAAAUGAAUCAAAACUUUCAACAACGGAUCUCUUGGCUCUGGCAUCGAUGAAGAACGCAGCGAAACGCGAUAAGUAAUGUGAAUUGCAGAAUCCAGUGAAUCAUCGAAUUUUGAACGCACAUUCGCCCGCCAGCAUUCUGGCGGGCAUGCCUGUUCGAGCGUCAUUUCAACCCUCGACCUCCCCUUGGGGAGGUCGGCGUUGGGGACCGGCAGCACACCGCCGGCCCUGAAAUGGAGUGGCGGCCCGUCCGCGGCGACCUCUGCGCAGUAAUACAGCUCGCACCGGAACCCCGACGCGGCCACGCCGUAAAACACCCAACUUCUGAACGUUGACCUCGAAUCAGGUAGGACUCCCGCUGAACUUAAGCAUAUCAAUAAGCGGAGGA